rnacentral:rRNA from 1 species
UACAGAGGUCUCAAGCGUUAUUCGGAAUUAUUGGGCGUAAAGGGCGCGUAGGCGGCCUGACAAGUGGAAGGUGAAAUCCCUCGGCUUAACCGAGGAACUGCCCUCCAAACUGUUUGGCUUGAGACCGGGAGAGGUGAGUGGAAUUCCCAGUGUAGCGGUGAAAUGCGUAGAUAUCCGAAGGAACACCGGUGGCGAAAGCGGCGCGCUGGAUCUCUUCUGACGCUGAGGCGCGAAAGCCAGGGGAGCCAAAGCGGGG